rnacentral:lncRNA from 7 species
AACGCUAGUACCUCGCCCCAAAACCCUAGUCCUCAGAGGCCCCAUCGCCUAGACGUCGGAGUGUUUAGAAACGCGACAACCUACAGCGGCUCGGAUCCCGAUGCCUGCUGCUUCUCUGCAGGGCGACGGUAUGAAGAUAGCAACAACAAUAAAGGUGUGUUUCCCCGUUCCUCUCAGUAGAUAGUAGAUCAGAUCUACACGUCAUCAAGAUUUUACUUUCAGUUACAGACGGAUUGGUAUUCUAGGGACUUAGGAAUCGAUCCUAGGCAGUAUAGAUUCUAACAAUGGUAUCAAAGCCGUCCUAAGAACCCUAGAUCUCCUAAUCCGCAUCAGUUUUAUGAGAUCACAGAAAAGUCUCGGAUCAACAUGAUUGAACUAUUUUUUUCGUUUAUCACCCGAGAACAGAUAGAUUAAAAUAGAAAGAAUAUUUUUUAUCUCUCGGGUUAGGGUUUACCUAACCCUAAAUCUAGGGUUUUGGCCACUAACAGAGAUUUGGUCUCGGCCAAACCCAGAAGAUUCGAGAUAGUAAAAACAGAUCGAUGUUUUAGGGUUAGGGUUUAAUAACCUAACCCUGAUCAGUUUUAAAUCUGGGUCAACAGAGAUCACAGUGGCUCGGGAUCUUUUACAUCCACGGCCUAGAUGACAGAGCAGAUUAGAAAAGGUACAAAAAAAUCCUCACAGAAAAUCUACGUUCUAUCAACUCAUAACUCGAUCCCGAAUAUUACAUUAGAUCCAUCUCAUACAUCACAGAGAACGAGAUCGAGUCAAAGAGGUAAGGGAGAUAAGAUCUGGGCGUGCACAGUCACAGAAGUCGACCAAGAGGUCGACCCCUUUUCUCUGCUGUCAACAGGGACAGCUGUCGGCGUUUGACCGACGGCGGCGCGCCCUACUGAGGGGACGCGCACACCGGCGGUAAAACCCGCAUGCCCCUGAACAUUAAUCCGGUCAUCCUCGGAUAUGUGAGCCGGCUGCGCGCUCAGGCAGCGGCUAGCUCACCGGUUUGAGCUGUUCGGUGGGGAAGAAAGAAGCAAAGAACAGAGCAGGAGAAGAACAGAAAGAGAGGAAGCCAGCCUAGAUCCGUUUGCCAAGCCAUGGUGCAAGGAAAAAAAAAUAGAGAGAAGUGGGAGGUGCGGUCGGCCAGGAAGAAGAAAAGAAAAAAAAGUUCCCAGGCGGCCGGCUGUCUUUGUGGCGGCUGGGGAUAAGAAAAGAAAAUGGCUAGGGUUUGCUGUCACCCCGAACUCCACGCUAUAUAUAAAACCUGCAUAGUGCGCCGUGCACUCCUGACCGUCGGAUUAUAUCUAACGGCGCUGGAUGGAGGUGGAGGUGCGGGAGGCGCCCGCGGCUAGGCCAGAUUCGUGGCCCAGGCCCAGGUUGCGGCCUGGGCGCGCGCUCCCUGCUGGCAGCGGCCAAAAGGUGGGCCGCCUUGAUGGGCCAAGAGGCCGAUCAAGCCAAAAUGGCCUCCAAUUUUUUUUUCGGGAAUUUGUUUACUAUUUCCAGAAAUUAGAAAC